rnacentral:rRNA from 1 species
UACGGAGGGUGCAAGCGUUAUCCGGAUUCACUGGGUUUAAAGGGUGCGUAGGUGGAUUAGUAAGUCAGUGGUGAAAUCUCCGGGCUUAACCCGGAAACUGCCAUUGAUACUAUUAGUCUUGAAUACCGUGGAGGUCAGCGGAAUAUGUCAUGUAGCGGUGAAAUGCUUAGAUAUGACAUAGAACACCAAUUGCGGAGGCAGCUGGCUACACGAGCAUUGACACUCAGGCACGAAAGCGUGGGGAUCAAACAGG